CACGUAGGCACCAAGCGUUGUCCGGAUUUAUUGGGCGUAAAGAGCUCGUAGGCGGUUGAGUAAGUCGGGUGUGAAAACUCUGGCUUAACUCCGGGCCUGCAGUGGGUACGGGCAGACUGAGAGUGCGGUAGGGGAGACUGGAAUUCCGUGGUGUAGCGGUGAAAUGCGCAGAUAUCAGGAGGAACACCGGUGGCGAAGGCGGGUCUCUGGGCCGUAACUGACGCUGAGGAGCGAAAGCGUGGGGAGCGAACAGG
rnacentral:rRNA from 1 species